AUGGGACCCUUUGCUCAGAAAGUCCCACCGAACUGGGCUUCAACAGCUGGAGGGGGUGGGGGACUUGAAGGCUAUAAAAGAUACUAUGGUCCCAUUGACCCUGAGGGACUGGGGCCCUGCAUGGAGCAGCAGGCAGGGUCCCAGACCCCCAAGACUAUGCCAAGGGGCCACCCCCAACCCCCUCCAGCCAGUGUGGCCUUCUAUUCAGAGAAGGGCAUGGACCACGGGGUGGGGAAGAGGGUGGUGGGAGGUGGCAGUGGAGGUCAGGGGAAAGGGGCCGGUAAACCUCUGGGCACUCCCAGAUUGCCGCCUAAGAGUCAGGCCCCUCUGCCUCCUACACCCCCGCUGCCACACCCCUCUCCCCCUCUCCCCUCAUCCUUCUGGAGGAAGCGUAGGCCCAAGAAGCCCAAAGAGCCUGGAGGGCCUCUGUAUGAGAACAUUCUGCCCCUGGGGCAGAGGGGAGGAGCACGAGAUGGAGUGAGGGAGGGAGGAGGGAGGAGGGCACGCCCCCUCUCUCCCCCGCUCUCACUUCCUGUGCCAGUACCCCUCAGCCCCUCUUACACCCCUCCUUCGCCCUCUGCAUCUUUGCACUAUACGUCCUCCACUUCUUCGUCAACCACCUCGUCCACAUCCACGUCCUCGUCUGCUUCAUCCUCGCGCUCCACCUCUCCCACCUACUCUUACAGCUCCUCUAGGAGCACACGGGACAGGACUGGAGGAAUAGAUGGAGAGGACGAUGAUGACGACGAGGAGCUGACGGAAGAGUCCAGCCUCCUCAUUGGUAGGGGGAGGGAGAGGGAACGCUCAAUUCUUCAGCCUCGUUCCCUCAGCCAUGGGCGCCUGCCGCCACCCAUACCCCCCAGGAAACCACGCUCAUCCUGGGGUGACAGAGAAAGGGAACGAGAGAGGGAGAGGGGGGGAAGCCAACUGUCUCAGCUCCAAGAAUGGUGGGCCAGCUGGAGUGAGCGAGAGAGGAGUGGAGUGGGUGGAGAUGCUGAGAGGCAAAAAAGGGAAAAGAAGAGGAGGAAAGAGAAGGAGAAAGAGAAGAAGAAGAAGAAAAAGAACAAAAAGAAGAAAAAGAGGGAGGAAAGGGAGAGAGAGCGAGAGAGGGAAAGAAAGCGGCGAAAGGUGAAAAAGAAAAAGAAAAAGGAGCUUAAGACAAAGAAAAGGAAGAAAUCUAUUGGGGGAAGACGCUCAGAGCCAGAAGAGGGAGAUGUAGAGCCAGAGAGGGAAGGGGAGGUAGAAGGAGACAGAGAAGGAGGAAUACAAGACUACUCGUUCUCUACGCAGUAUCGUAACACAUUUGGGGAGAAAGGACGGGAUUCAUGGGAAGGAGACAGGGAGAGAGGAAGGAGAGAAGGAGAUGAUGGCAAUGACAGGGAACAGGAGGACAGCAGCAGAAGCAGGGAGAGGCGUCCCAAAUCCUCCCGUUCCCAUUCUAGGCAUCUUAUCCCCAAUAAACGUUACCCUAACCUCAACAAACUCCCUGCAUCUGUGAAGUUUUGGGUGAAUGGAAGAGGUGAUGAUUCUAAUACUCCUCCAGCUUCCCUCCACCCACUCCUUCCGUCCUCCAAGCGGAGAAGAAGCAGCGGGAUGGACAGAGACGACAGUGGGAGAGUUGGCGAGCGGCGUCCUUUGUUAAUGCAUUAUGAAAAAGAUAAAGCACGGACAAGAGAAGGGCUUUCCUUCCCUGAGUGGGAAUCGGAGGAUGGCGACGAAGAUGAGGAUGAGCAACAGGAGGAAAGGCAGAGGGUGAGGGAGAGGGUGGGGGAGAGGGGUAAGAGAGCAGGUAGGGGGGCAGUGUCUGAGUCAGAGAGAGACAGGGCCAGGGCAGAGGACAGUUAUUCAGACGAUGGCUCGUCAGGGGAGUUUGGUCGUUUUGAAAGAUACUGGGAGGGAGGUGCGAGGGGAAGCAGCGCGGGGAUCGGGGGCAUAGGGGGAGGAGGCUGGUUCUUUGGCACCUACCCCUCCCGAGAAAAAGGGGGCAGUAUCAACAGUCGGGAUGAUUCCUUACUGGGAACGCGGGCGGAGGGAUGGAUUGGUGCUGAUUUUUGGGGGCCAGGGACAGGAGUAGGUUGGGGCUCAGGGGGAGGGAGUGGAGGGCUCGGCUCACAGUGGCCGCCACCCCCCCCCGGCCUUCCCUCCUCCUAG
ensembl:lncRNA